GGCAGUGAGGGCCAUCUGACUGCCACAUCUGUAGCCCAGUGAGCACCAGGGUUGGUUCGGCUGGGUGUGCUGGCUGGGUGGGGUCGCCUUCCAUCCUCACUGUUCUGUGUGUGUCCCAAGCUGCGUACAUGCUGGGUGGCAGAGGACCAGGACUGGACAGAAGAAGGUUGAGGACAAUUCCUUGGUCUAGGAUGCACGGGUAGCUGUGCUCCCUUCUGGAACCUCCACACAAGCUCUUAAGAACACCUCCCAAAGUGUGUUCUGAGGAACAGUCAUUUUCAGAAGAGGUUUAAUGGUCAGAUUCAUU
ensembl:misc_RNA 7SK 7SK RNA